ensembl:lncRNA
CCCUGCUGCGCCCCUCCCUCCUCUGAGAGGAUCAGGACUGUGAAUGGGUGUAGUGCCUCUGAUAAUUCCUCCACGGGGCAGGAGGAGCAGCAGGUGCCCCGGUCAGUGUCCCGUCACUUCAGGCAACAUAAGAAAGAUUCACCUUCGUCUCCGGCUCUCCUGCACACACAGCUCUCUCUCUCCGUCUCUCUCUCUCUACACUCACCUGUGAGGAUGUCUACCUGUUCUUAGCUCACCUGAAUGGAGCAGCCUCUACCUGAAGUGCGGGAAGGUCCUCACGUUCUGCUGUCUGAUGUUCAGGAUUAAUCAGAAGCUCUGCAGUCAUGGUCAUUCUGCAGCAGGGGGACUAUGUGUGGUUGGACCUGAAGACUGGCCGAGAGUUCGACGUGCCUGUAGGAGCCGUGGUGAAGCUGUGUGACUCGGGUCAGAUCCAGGUUCUGGAUGAUGAAGGAAACGAACACUGGAUCUCCCCCCAGAAUGCCACCAAUAUUAAGCCCAUGCACCCCACCUCCAUCCACGGGGUGGAGGACAUGAUUCGGCUGGGGGAUCUGAACGAGGCGGGGAUUCUCCGUAACCUGCUGAUCCGCUAUAGAGAACACCUCAUAUAUACGUACACAGGGUCAAUCCUGGUGGCGGUAAACCCGUACCAGCUGCUGCCCAUCUACACAGCAGACCAGAUCCGCCUGUACACCAACAAGAAGAUCGGAGAGAUGCCCCCUCACAUCUUCGCCAUCGCCGACAACUGCUACUUCAACAUGCAGAGGAACAACAAGGACCAGUGCUGCAUCAUCAGUGGUGAGUCCGGAGCGGGGAAGACUGAGAGCACCAAGCUGAUCCUGCAGUUUCUGGCGGCCAUCAGCGGUCAGCACUCCUGGAUUGAGCAGCAAGUGCUGGAGGCCAAUCCCAUACUGGAGGCCUUCGGGAAUGCCAAGACCAUCCGGAAUGACAACUCCAGCCGAUUUGGGAAAUACAUAGACAUCCACUUCAACAAGAGAGGGGCAAUAGAGGGAGCAAAAAUCGAGCAGUACCUGCUGGAGAAGUCCAGAGUGUGUCGACAGGCCAGAGAUGAGAGGAAUUAUCAUAUCUUCUACUGCAUGCUGAAGGGGAUGACUUCAGAUCAGAAGAAGAAACUUGGCCUGGGAAAAGCCACAGACUACACCUACCUCACUAUUGGAAACUGCACGGUGUGUGAUGGUCGGGAUGAUCAGAAGGAAUACUCCAACAUUCGCUCAGCCAUGAAGGUGCUCAUGUUCACGGAUACGGAGAACUGGGAGAUCUCCAAACUGCUGGCCUCCAUCCUGCACAUGGGAAAUCUCCACUAUGAAGCUCGGACGUAUGAUAACCUGGAUGCCUGUGAGGUGGUGCGCUGUGCUGAUCUGACCACCGCUUCAAAACUGCUGGAGGUUGAUUCUAAAGACUUGAUGAACUGCCUGACCAGCCGCACUCUGAUCACUCGAGGGGAGACGGUGUCCACUCCGCUCAGUAUGGAGCAGGCCCUGGAUGUGCGAGAUGCCUUCGUAAAGGGAAUAUAUGGGCGCUUGUUUGUCUGGAUUGUUGAGAAGAUUAAUGCAGCAAUCUUCAAGCCUACAUCCCAUGAUCUUAAAGCUGUACGCAGAUCCAUCGGCCUCCUGGACAUCUUCGGCUUUGAGAACUUUACUGUCAACAGUUUUGAGCAGCUGUGUAUCAACUUUGCCAACGAGAACCUGCAGCAGUUCUUCGUCCGCCACGUCUUUAAGCUGGAGCAGGAGGAGUAUAACCUGGAGAACAUCAACUGGCAGCACAUCGAGUUCACCGACAACCAGGACGCCCUGGACAUGAUCGCCAUCAAACCCAUGAACAUCAUCUCCCUCAUCGACGAGGAGAGCAAGUUCCCCAAGGGAACAGACACCACCAUGCUGAACAAGCUCAACUCCCAACACAAGCUCAACACCAACUACAUCCCUCCCAAAAACAACUACGAGACUCAGUUUGGGAUCCAGCACUUUGCAGGAAUCGUUUAUUACGAGACGAGAGGUUUUCUGGAGAAGAACAGAGACACUCUUCACGGUGAUAUCAUCCAGCUGGUUCACUCUUCAAAGAACAAGUUCAUCAAGCAGAUCUUCCAGGCGGAUGUGGCCAUGGUAAUGCUUCCUGAUCUGAGAAUUUAUAUAUUUUAUUUGUUUAAAGUGAGCCGAAAGAACCUGUUGUUUGACAGGGAGCUGUGUGUCCGGCAGCUCCGCUACUCUGGAAUGAUGGAGACGAUCCGGAUCCGCCGGGCUGGAUACCCCAUUCGCUACACCUUUGUGGAGUUUGUGGAUCGUUAUCGUGUCCUUAUGCCUGGAGUAAAGCCUGCAUACAAACAGGAGGAUCUGAGAGGAACCUGUCAGCGGAUUGCAGAGGCCGUCCUUGGCCGAGACGAUGACUGGCAGAUGGGAAAGACCAAAAUAUUUCUGAAGGAUCAUCACGACAUGCUGCUGGAGAUCGAGAGAGACAAGGCCAUCACUGACAAGGUCAUCCUCAUCCAGAAGGUGGUCAGAGGAUUUAAAGACAGAUCUAACUUCCUUAAGAUGAAGAGAGCAGCGCUUAUCAUCCAGAAGACUUGGAGAGGAUACCACUGCCGGAAAAACUAUGAUGCGGUGAGUUACUGGAUUUAUGUUUUAAUAAGCACACAGGCACAUUUUUAUAUUAUAUAUAUUAUGUGUGUAAAUGAUUUUUUAACUUUCUGCUCUUCCUCUCAGUACCGGAGGCGUCUGGAGGCGGAGAAGAUGCGUCUGGCUGAGGAGGAGAAGCUGAGGAACCAGAUGAGCGCCAAGCGAGCCAAAGCCGAGGCUGAGCGUAAGCAUCAGGAGCGCCUGGCCCAGCUGGCUAAAGAGGACGCAGAGCGGGAGAAGAAGGAGAAGGAGGAGGCUCGCAAGAAGAAGGAGAUGCUGGAUCAGAUGGAGAAAGCUCGUCAGGAGCCCGUUAACGACUCGGAUAUGGUGGAUAAAAUGUUUGGAUUCCUGGGGACCACCAACUCCUUUCCGGGUCAGGAGGGCCAGGCGCCGGCCGGGUUCGAGGACCUGGAGCGGACUAAGAGGGAGCUGGAGGAAGAAGAUCUGGAUGAAGCUCUUCCUCUGCCUGAGGAAGAUGAGGAAGACCUUUCUGAAUAUAAAUUUGCCAAGUUUGCAGCCACGUACUUCCAGGGCACAAGCACUCACACGUACAUGCGCCGUCCACUCAAACAGCCGCUGCUGUUCCACGAGGACGAGGGGGAUCAGCUGGCAGCGCUGGCGGUGUGGAUCACAGUCCUUCGUUUUAUGGGAGACCUUCCAGAACCCAAAUACCACACAGCCAUCAGCGACGGCAGCGAGAAAAUCCCUGUGAUGACGAAGAUUUACGAGACGCUGGGCAAGAAAACCUACAAGCGAGAGCUGCAGGCGCUGCAGGGGGAGGGAGAGAACGCUCACAUUGACAGUCAUAAGAAGAACAGUGUGCGUCACAAGCUAGUGUCCCUCACCCUUAAGAAGAAGUCAAAGAUUACUGAGGAGGUGAGUGACAGUGUUAUAAUGCAUGAUAACUUGUCUGGUUUGCCUUCCUGGAACAGGAAAGAUGAGAUCUACUGUCAGAUCUGUAAGCAGCUGACUCAGAACCCGUCUAAAAGCAGCCACGCCCGAGGCUGGAUCCUCAUGUCCCUGUGUGUGGGCUGCUUCGCCCCGUCUGAGAAGUUUGUGAAGUAUCUGAGGAACUUCAUCAGUGAAGGUCCUCCAGGCUACGCUCCUUACUGUGAGGAAAGGCUCAGGAGGACGUUUGUGAACGGCACCAGAACCCAGCCCCCCUCCUGGCUCGAGCUGCAGGUACAACCUGAAGAAGUUGAUUGUUUGAAUAACAUAGCUUUGCUUGCAGUUCAGCUUGGUGUGAUGGUUUGUGUUCAGGUGUCUUCUCUGGGCAGUGGAAGUGAUCAUGUGAUGGACGCCGUGUCUCAGUGUGAGCAGUAUGCUAAAGAGCAGGGGGCUCAGGAGCGUAACGCCCCCUGGAGGCUGUUCUUCAGGAAGGAGAUCUUCACGCCCUGGCACGACCCCACUGAGGACGGGGUGGCCACCAACCUCAUCUACCAGCAGAUCGUCCGCGGGGUGAAGUUCGGGGAGUACCGCUGUGACCGGGAUGAUCUAUCAGAGCUGGCGUCUCAGCAGUAUUAUGUGGACUAUGGAUCGGAGAUCCUGGUGGAACGUCUCCUCAGCCUCAUUCCUUCAUACAUCCCUGACCGAGAAAUCAGCUCCGCCAAGACGGUGGAGAAAUGGGCCCACUUCAUCAUGGCUGCCCAUAAAAAGGGUGUUUACACACAGAAGCGAGUGGACCCUCAGAAGGUGAAAGAAGAAGUGGUGGAAUUCGCUCGAUACAAGUGGCCUUUGUUGUUCUCUAGGUUCUAUGAAGCCUUUAAAUUUUCAGGACCCAGCUUGCCUAAGAAUGAUGUGAUUGUAGCUGUGAACUGGACUGGAGUCUAUUUUGUUGAUGAACAAGAGCAGGUUCUUCUGGAACUCUCUUUCCCAGAGAUCACUGCGGUUUCCAGCAGCAGAGGAGGCAAGCUCCAGGGGCAGAGCUUCACCCUGGCCACUGUUAAAGCAGAUGAGUACACCUUCACCUCCAACAACGCAGAGGACAUCCGAGACCUGGUCGUCACGUUCCUGGAGGGCCUAAGGAAGAGAUCCAAGUUUGUGGUGGCGCUGCAGGACAACCCCAGUCCAGUUGGUGAUGACUCUACGUUCUUGAGCUUCAUUAAGGGAGAUCUCAUCCUGCUGGAUCAGGACACAGGUGAGCAGGUCCUGAACUCAGGCUGGGCUCAUGGGAUCAAUGAGAGGACCAAACAGAGAGGAGACUUUCCAGCUGACUGUGUCUACGUCCUGCCUACCGUCACCAGACCUCAGCCUGAUGUUGUGGCUCUGGUUACUAUGACGCCAGACCAGCGUCAGGAGUCCAUUCGCGUGGCGCAUGUGCCCCUGCCCGAGAGCGUGGAGCGGGUGAAGCCGUACACACUGGAGGAGUUCUCCUACGACUACUUCAGACCGCCUCCUAAACACACCCUGAGCCGCGUAAUGAUCACGAAGAACCGGGGGAAGGAUAAGCUGUGGUGCUGCACGCGGGAGCCCAUUAAACAAGCUCUGCUGAAGAAGGUUCUGGCCCAUGAGGAGCUGUCCCAGGAAGCCUGCAUGGCAUUCAUUGAUAUCCUUUUGCAUUACUAUAUGGGCGACUAUCCAUCCAAACGAACGCGUUCUGUAAAUGAACUGACGGAUCAGAUCUUUGAGGGAGCUCUGAAGGCCGAGCCGCUGAAAGACGAGAUUUACUCCCAGAUUCUCAAACAGCUCACAGAGAAUCACGUCAAGUACAGUGAAGAGAAGGGCUGGGAGCUGCUCUGGUUGUGUACUGGACUCUUUCCACCCAGUAAUGUCCUCCUACCCCACGUCCAGAGAUUCCUGCAGUCCAAGAAACACCAUCCACUCGCACUGGACUGCCUUCAGAGACUACAGAAAGCCCUGCGGAACGGCUCCAGGAAGUAUCCCCCCCACCUGGUGGAAGUGGAAGCGAUCCAACACAAGACGACUCAAAUCUUUCACAAAGUGUACUUCCCCGACGACACAGACGAGGCUUUCGAGGUGGAGUCCAGUACCAAGGCUAAGGACUUUUGUCUGAACAUCUCCGGCCGCCUGCUGCUGAAAUCUCCUGAUGGUUUCAGCCUGUUUGUAAAGAUUUCCGAUAAGGUGAUCAGCGUUCCAGAAGGUGAUUUCUUCUUCGACUUUGUCAGACAUCUCACCGACUGGAUCAAGAAAGCCAGACCUGCUAAAGAUGGAAUUGUGCCUUCAUUGACCUAUCAGGUGUUCUUUAUGAAGAAGUUGUGGACGAACACGGUCCCAGGAAAAGAUUCUUUUGCUGACUCAAUCUUCCAUUAUUACCAGGAGCUUCCUAAGUAUCUUCGGGGCUACCACAAGUGCUCCAGAGACGAGGUCUUCCAGCUGGCAGCUCUGAUUUACAGAGUCAAAUUUGAAGAUGACAAAUCCUACUUUCCCAGCAUCCCGAAAAUGCUGAAAGAGCUGAUUCCUCAGGAUCUGAUCCGCCAGCUCUCGCCUGACGACUGGAAACGGUCGGUUGUGGCGUACUUCAACAAACAUGCCGGGAAGUCGAGGGAGGAGGCCAAGCUGCUGUUUCUGAAGAUCAUCUUUAAGUGGCCAACGUUUGGCUCUGCCUUCUUUGAAGUGAAGGUAACUUUCACUUACUGUACAGACAGAUUCGGAUCUACAGUACUGAAGAACAUGGGUUUAUUAGACAUUUUAACGACUCAUCCCUUCACAAAAAUCUCCAACUGGAGCAGUGGAAACACCUACUUCCACAUCACCAUCGGAAACCUGGUGCGAGGGAGCAAGCUACUGUGUGAGACCUCACUGGUAAGAGAAAUAUAG